CCUACGGGAGGCAGCAGUAGGGAAUCUUCCACAAUGGACGAAAGUCUGAUGGAGCAACGCCGCGUGAGUGAAGAAGGAUUUCGGUUCGUAAAACUCUGUUGCAAGGGAAGAACAAGUAGCGUAGUAACUGGCGCUACCUUGACGGUACCUUGUUAGAAAGCCACGGCUAACUACGUGCCAGCAGCCGCGGUAAUACGUAGGUGGCAAGCGUUGUCCGGAAUUAUUGGGCGUAAAGCGCGCGCAGGUGGUUCCUUAAGUCUGAUGUGAAAGCCCCCGGCUCAACCGGGGAGGGUCAUUGGAAACUGGGGAACUUGAGUGCAGAAGAGGAUAGUGGAAUUCCAAGUGUAGCGGUGAAAUGCGUAGAGAUUUGGAGGAACACCAGUGGCGAAGGCGACUGUCUGGUCUGUAACUGACACUGAGGCGCGAAAGCGUGGGGAGCAAACAGGAUUAGAUACCCUGGUAGUCCACGCCGUAUACGAUGAGUGCUAAGUGUUGGGGGGUUUCCGCCCCUCAGUGCUGCAGCUAACGCAUUAAGCACUCCGCCUGGGGAGUACGGUCGCAAGACUGAAACUCAAAUGAAUUGACGGGG
rnacentral:rRNA from 1 species